CUUGUGUGAUGUCAUCAUCCGACCAUUCAGUUUACUUUGUGGGUGGAUGACGAAUGACCACAAAAAGUUUGGUAACUCUAUUCCAUUCAUUUAUGAAGUUAUAGCAAUUUAAAUUUUUUUGGCGAGUAGUCAAACUUCGAGGCCUGGCCCCACCCAUUCAGUAUUUACGAAAAGUCAAUUUUAUUGUCUCAUUUUGUUCGCCCAACCCUUCUGAGCAAUUUUACACCACUUUUGAGACGAUCGUGCGAAAAAUGAUCGAGCAAUCCAAUCAGAAACGGACCCUAAAAACGGCAAAAAAUCGCCAUUUCAACCCAAAAUGGCUGACUUCCUGUUUGAUAUUGACCAUGCUUGUAAGAGACUUUUCUGUGCGGACUGUUGAGUACUACAAGUGUACCAAAUUUCAUAACUGUAAGAUAAACUAAGCUUUAUGGAGAGGGUUUUUUUUUCACUUUCUAGGGGGCGCUGUUCAGCCAUUUUCUUUGCGAUUUUAUUGGGACCUUUAAAAUAUCAAAUUUUUCACCAGGCCUGACAAGUGUGCAAAAUAUUGUGAGUUUUGGGGUAUGAUAAGGUCCCCAAAAAGCCGUUCAAAGCGGCACCGGAAUAAUAAAUAAAAAAGAAUAAACAGAGCAAAAACAAGAGGCCUUCGCAGCGCUUUCGCUGCUCGGGCCUAAUUACAGCUUGAGACUCUGCAAGAAAUUAACAUAGAGGAUACAGUUCAUGACUGUAAUAUCCCAGAAGCAACUGACCGACGUUUGACAAGCAAGAAAGGUCUUCCUCGACGCUACAAGCUAAGGCCUGAGGAUCCAAGGCAUUAUGGUUUGCUGUCCGGAGUUCCUGCACCAUCAACAGAGGAACUUCUACAACACCUACGGACUUGCGGUGAUGGUAAAACUUUGCCACAGACAUAGGUGUUGGGGGAGGCAAGAGAAAACCCAAAACCUUCUUUAUAUUUGUUUCCUGUGUUUUUUUUUUUUUUUU